GGUGAGAUGUCCGAGAGGCUGAAGGAGCACGCCUGGAAAGUGUGUAUACGGCAACGUAUCGAGGUUCGAAUCCCUCUCACCGCCA
rnacentral:tRNA from 1 species